GUAAUAUCUACAUAUUUGCAAGAAUUUAGUGCAUAAAAGUCAUCGCUUUCUUAAGAGGAGCGUUACUUCAACACUGCCUUCGCUCCAGCCAAUACCUGAAUUUAACUCUUUACAUCCAUCCCAAUUUACUACAUAUAUACAAAGAUGCGUGUACUUUUCGCUGUCAUGCUAAUUUUUGGAGUGAUGAUUGUACCGAAGUUGGCAAUGCCACAGAUUGGAAAUCCUCAGGGGAGUUUUGCUUGUGUCUCCAUCGCCUCGAAAUGUUCUGGACGAAACCCUUACGUCGAGUGUGGUGGUAAUCGGGUAUGCAAAUCACUCGCCGGUUGCGGUUGGCGAUGCCAAGGGGGAUUGCUCGAUAUCACUGUAGCAAUUUAAAUUGAAAAAAUGUCUCUUAUCUGGAUUGACCUUAAAAUUUAGUACGAAUUUGAUUUAAUUAUGUGCUAUAUUGACGAAUUGUUUGAUAAAUUCAAUAAAUAAUUGCUUGAAUGAAUUUAGUCAAUACAAAA